UACGUAGGAGGCGAGCGUUGUCCGGAUUCACUGGGCGUAAAGGGCGCGUAGGCGGCGGCUUGAGUCCCUGCGUGAAAUCUCCCGGCUCAACCGGGAGGGUGCGCGGGAUACUGGGCGGCUUGAGGACAUCAGAGGAGAGCGGAAUCCCCGGUGUAGUGGUGAAAUGCGUAGAGAUCGGGAGGAACACCAGAGGCGAAGGCGGCAAGCUGGAUGGGCACUGACACUCAACUGCGAAAGCGUGGGGAGCAAACAGG
rnacentral:rRNA from 1 species